rnacentral:lncRNA from 10 species
GUCCAGGCCUUCAUCUUUCUUCUGUGCUGGAUGCUUCCCUGCUCUUGAACAUCAAGACUUCAGGUUCUUUGACUUUUGGACCCUUGGACUUACACCAGUGGUUUGCCAGGUGCUCUCAGGGCUUCCGCCACAGACUGAAGCCUGCACCGUCAGCUUCACUGUCAUAUUUUUCAGGUUUUGGGACUCAGACUGAGCCACUGCUGGCUUCCUUGCUCCUCAGCUUGCAGAUGCCUAUUGUGGGACUUCACCUUACAGUCAUACCCGAUGUGAAGCCUGACUGAGCAGAGUGGAGACCAGCAGCUGCACGUCAAGUGACUGUAAAUUGGUCUUGACCCUCUGAGGAAAUGGGGAUGCUGCAGAAGACACUGGCUAAAUUGAUAAAAUGAGAUUUGUAACCACCCUGGGACAGAGCUCCCAGAGGGAGAGACGGGCCACUAUCUUUGCCAUUUAGAUGACUUAGCUGUUCCAGCCUUCAGGCCUCAGAGUAUCUGAGGAACCAGGGGCUG